CAGUGGGUACCGUUACCGUUUUGGGGCCAGACGUCUGAAAUGGAGGCGUUGGCAGGGUUGGUUCCUCUGGCCUCUGAGUGAGCACUGGUGCCAAGCUCUGUCCCUGCUUCCGCCGGGACAGCGUCCCUGGUCUCAUGGUAGCUUAACUCUCUCCUCUGUUUCCAGCUUCAUGCCACCGUGUUCCCAGGCUAGGAGUCCAAUCGGACCUGUAGCCGCCGGCCUACACCCCAGCCACAGCAACCCUGGAUCCUUAACCCACUGAGCGAGGCCAGGGACCGAACCCAUGGAUACUAGUCGGGUUCGUUAACCGCUGAGCCAUGACAGGGACUCCCUCAUCUGUUUCUUCUCGUAAACUCUACUUCUUUUUCUUUGUCUUUUUUUAAAGUUCCAGAUUGUAUAAAAUUACGCACCAGCAGGAAGGAGGUUAUUGCCUCGCAGAGAAAGGGUUAGAUGUGGACUGGCCACCGCAAGCCCACCUCUGAAAUGCACGUCUGCAGGUCCCCGAUCUGCGGCAGACACCUGUUCGCUUGAUGGCAGGAGGUGAGGUGGGGGCUUGGGCCAAACAGAAGGAACUCCAAGGCCUUGAUCUUCCUGGGGGCGGAGGAGGCCGCUCAGCACCUGAAGACGCUCCAGGUCGACCUGAGAGGUCCUGGGCUGGAGACACAGGGAGCGGCAGCCACAGCGACUCCCCGCCCCCAUUUUCCGUCACUUCAUUCACCAGACAAGCCAGGGCUUCCCAGGCCGGGAAAAGUUUUUCCUGUCUCUUCGUUGCAUUUUGGGUUGUCUGUAUAGGCUGCCUGCCACCCCGCUGGGGUGGAAUCAGUAGUAAAAGGAAGAGAAGCAGAAGUUUCAAACAUUUGAGUAAGAUUUAACGGGAAACAUUCCACCCUUCAUCCCCAGCCGUCUCUCCCAAGGAAGACACCUGUUAUUGGUUUGUUGUGGAUUCUUUCAGAGGCAUGUCCACCCUCAGGUAGAGAUAUGUGUAGCCUUUAAAAAAAAAAAAUGCAUGCAUCCAACACCAUCGAACACAUUUUGUUCAGUAUCUUCUCUUACGUGAUACGGCUGGAGGUUAUUUGGUACCAGCACAGGUAGCUGAGCCUCCGAGUGUGCCGUGACUGCAUAAUAUGCCACCACAUGACGUCCCUCCCUCCCUCAGUCUGUCCUCUCUUGUCACAUUUAGGGCGGGUCCCUGUUUUUUGCCUUUACACUUGGCCUGAGAACAAACCCUCCUGCACGUGCAUUUCUUCUAUUUGAGCAAGGACUUCAGAAGGGUGAUUUUCCAGGAGCGGAUGUGCUCCAGCAAGGGUCGUGUACAUCUUUGAAAUGAUCUGUUUCAGGAGUUCCCAUUGUGGCGCAGCAGAGAUGAAUCCAGCUAGGAACCAUGAGGUUGCAGGUUCAAUCCCUGGCCUCGCUCAGUGGGUUAAGGAUCCAGCAUUGCUGUGAGCUGUGGUGUAGGUCACAGAUGCAGCUCGGAUCUGGCAUUGCUGUGGCUCUGGCUUAGGCCAGCGGCUACAGCUCUGAUUAGACUCCUAGCCUGGGACCCUCCAUAUGCCGCAGGUGCCCCCCCCCCAAAAAAAAAGAUCCAUUUCAUAGAAAUUGCCAAAUGGUCCUUGAAAACAGUGGCACCAGAGUUCCCGUCGUGGCUCAGUGGGGCAAAUCCGACUAGCAUCCAUGAGCACACAGGUUCGAUCCCUGGCCUUCCUCAGUGGGUUAAGGAUCCAGCUCUGAUUCGACCUAGACCGAAUGCCAUCAACAGGCCCCACACGUCAGCAGUCAGUGCCCCAAUGUAAGAAUUUUAUGUUGUUGUCAUAUUAUAAGGUUCUUAUGAAGCCACGGCUUCCUAAUACUGUGUAGCCACUCCCUGAGCUGGGCAUUCUUUUCCUUCCCUUUCAAUACAUCACAUUGAUUUUCUGUAUGACUUUAUCUGCUUAAUACAAAGUGGGAUUGAACAGUGAUUUGUCUGGAUCUGACCAUUCCUUAUCAAACAUUUAUGAUUUAGCUUUCGCCAUGGCGUCUUCUUGUAAGGUGUUGCUUAUUUUUAUCUUUUUCCGUAAAGGUAGGAUUGUGUUGACAGCCCUGUAAUAAAUCUCUCUUGAAAGUGACGUGUGGGAGAGGGCGGGGAGAGACGGGGACCGUUUGAGGGGAAGCUUUAAGAAAGGGCCGUGCGAAUUCUUUCUGGACCGAAGUCCUGUUUUAAUAGCAGUGAUUGAUGUCCUCACUUGGGGCAUUGCCAUAUAUGAGGAUCGGGUGCUUCUCAGGACGCACGGAUGGCUAACCCUCUGAUGGUGAUGGGUCCAGUACGUGUGUGAGGUUGGUAGAGCCCGGGGCCAAAUCUUAGAAGCACCUGCCUCACGUAGCGUGAUGUCAGGGACAUGGCAGGGUCACCAGCUUUCACGGAGCGUCUCGGUUGGAAUGUCACCUGCAGACACGAGACUGGGAAAUGACAGAAUGCAGUGAGGCUUCCGUAUUUUUCUCUCAUUCUGUUUCCUUAUUGAGAGCAUUUUCAAGGUUCCCAUAGAGAAGCGGGAAUUGGUAUAUUUCCCUCAGUUCUAGAAAACUUGAUGAGCGCCUACUGUGUGUCGAGCAUCAUGUCCUUGGAGCCAUCUGCCAGGACACAGGGAUGAAUAGCGCAGUAGGGCAGCAGGGAGCCAGUAGCCUGACCGUUGUGGGCUUGCACCCCAGCGCAUCACUGUUGGGUGACGUAGGGCAAUACUUUUUAACCUGAAACAGCACCCUUUGUCCCAUCACCAUUCCUGUGGAUGAACUAUCUGGAUAGGGUUCAGCAUCUCUCUCAGGGUGCAAUCGAGGAGCCAGUGUCUUCAACUGGGGCUGGACCAGGGCGGCUCACACUUAAUCACACUUCAGCUUCUUGGCCAGGACUUGGGUUUUGGCUGGUGUUGGGCUGAGGGCCUCAGUUCCUUUUUUGGCUGUUGCCUUUGGGGCUGUUUAAAGGGCAGCUCACAGCACGGCAGCUGCCUCCCAUCUGAGCAAGCCAACAAAAGAGCGAGAGGUGGCGAGUGAGGCCGACGUCAGUCUCAGGUGAACUUCAUCUCAGAAGUGAAGAGUCCAUCAUUUUAUUUAUUUAUUUGUAUCGAGACAUCAGUCAAUGCUCUACUCUUCUCCCCUUCAAAGUAUAUGAUUAAGGAGUCCCCUGAUGGUGCAGAGGGUUAAGGAUCUGGCGUUGUUACUGCUGUGGUUUGGGUCGCUGCUGUGGCACAGGUUUCGUCCCUGGCCUGGAAACUUCCUCAUGUUGCAGGCAUGGCCAAAAAAAAUAUACGAUCCAGUAUUUUUUAGUAUAUUUUCAGAGUCGUACAACCAUCACCACUACCAAAUUAGCAUUUGUCAUCACCCCCCCACCGCAAACCCUGUACCCGUUAGAAACCACUGCCCAUUCCCUGGCCUCCGCUACUGGCAACCACUAAUCUGCUUUCUGUUUCUGUGGAUUUGGACAGUUCAGGUAAGUGGAAUCAUACAAUAAGUGACCUUUUGCAAUUGGCUUCUUUUACUUAGCAUAGUGUUUUCAAGAUCCAUCGAUGUUGUAGCAGGCAUGCCUCGUUAUCUUAUUCCUCUUUACAGCCAAAUAACAUGCCGCUUGAUGCAAGUGUCCCGUGUGGUUUAUCCACCCCCCAGUUGGUGGGCAUUUGGUACAUUUCUUCUUUUGGGCUCUUAGGAAUCGUGCUGCCGUGGGCUCUCAUGCACACGUUUUUUUGUGAAGGCGUGUUUUCCUUCUCCUGGGUGUGUAUCUAAGAGUGGAGUUGCCACAUCGUAAGGCAACUCUUUGUUUAACUUGAAAAAGGAUUUUUUUUUUUUGGCCACAUCCAUGGCAUGCAGAAGUUUACUGGUCCAGGAUCAAACCUGAGCCACGGCAGCAACCCGAGUUAGAGCAGUGACAGUGCUAAGUCCUUAGCUGCUAGGCCACCAGGAAACUCCUCUUUGUUGAACUUUUGAAGAACUGCCAGACUGUUGUCCGAGGUUCCUGGCAUCAUCUUCUGUUCCCGCCAGCCGUGCUGGAGGGUUCCAGUAUCUCCAUAGCCUCCCCAACACCUGUUGUUGCCCUUUUCCUCGCAUCUCCUAGCAGGGGUGAGGAGGUGCGAGUAUUUUCUUGAUCCUCAGCUGCCGCCUCUGCGACGUGGGACAGUUUCAUGUUACGGUUUUCAGGUGUAAGAAAGUCGAGGCGGGUCCGAGUUUCUGGUCUGAACCCUGAGGCAUCAUGGUGUGCAGGAACAGACCCAGGUCCCCGUCGUCCCCGCCCCGCGCCCCAGGAAGUCUUCUGUGUGGGGCCCUGAGCCCCGGGUUUGCUUAGGCGUGUUUAUUUCUACUUUAUGGUGCAGCAGGCACCCCGAGCAUGUGUGUUCUUAUGUUGCAGAAACACUGAUGGGAACGCUUUGGUUGGGAAAGGCCUUGGUUCCUCCUGGAGUCACUGUAGACCCGGCCCAGCUCUGUGACCUUGAAGCUCUUCUAAGGAGCGCAGCCCUGCUUUCCCAGACGCGGUGCGUCCUCCAGUGCCGCAUGGCUGGACGGCCCCAUUUCAGUUCCGCAGCCAUAAUCAACCCCACUUGACACAUGGAGGCCUCACCAUGCUUGCUGACCUGGCUGUGGCGACAGCAGCCCCGUGGAAACCCUGUAUUCUGUAGGGACUCCCCUGUUGGAAAGGAAAUUCUCUUUGUGGCCCCGUGUGGGUUUACAAAACAGCUGUGUCUGUCAGUUCCCUUACUUGCUUUGAUCUGCUGAUGACACUUGUCUGAGGUUGGCUUAUUUUCUUGCCUGUUUACCUAACGGCCCAUUUCUGCCCUCAUCCUCAGGGUAGGGCUCCGAAAUCAAAGAUUUUCUUCCCCCAUUUAUUGCUAUGACCUCAGUCCCUCGGGCAGUUCGUGGCCCAGGGGCACCUUGACAAAGGAAGGGGAAGUGGGGGGACCCCCCACCAGGAAUCCCAUUGCAGAGUGAGGAGGCCUGUCUCCGGUUCCUCAACAGCUCAGCUCCCCGCUGCCUGGCACUUGGCUGUGUUCGUUUGUUUAGCAAACUUACUGAGUGUAGACUCCCCCUAACACUCAGAGGUCACCCCACCUGCCUGCCUUUGGAUCCCCGGUCUUAGAGGUCACCCCACCUGCCCGCCUUUGCAUCCCUGGUCUCCAUGUGUUAACUGUACCCCUGGGGCAUCCCUGACCUCCGAGCAGCUCACUUCCUCCCAUCCCUAGAAUGAAUGUGAUAAUGCUGAUUUCCUCGUGGACUCGUGAGGACUCAGUGAAUUAGAGCAUCACAGCCUCACAGAACAAGGGAUAAGUAAAUAGCCACCAGAGCCAUAAUAGUAACACUUAAUGUUAUUUUUUAUUAUGUGCCUUUCGUUUUGCUGCUGUUUUCUACUAGGUGUCAGGCAUCGUUGCAGUGUCUGGAGAUGCUCAGUUAUAGUAGACGAAAUUGUAUCCAUCAUGGAACUCGCAUUGAAGCGUAGGGGGAAACUAGCACACUAGAUCAUUUGCCAUGAAAAUGAAGCAGGCAGGGGAGCUGCCUGGUGGCCUAGGAUUCAGCCCUUUCACCACUGUGCCCUGGGUUCAGUCCUUGGUCUGGGAACUGAGAUCCAAUGUCAAGCUAGUACAUGUUAUGGCAAAAAAAAA
rnacentral:lncRNA from 1 species